GGCGGAGCUGGGAUAUUAUCUGUGCGCAUGCGCCAACGCUAUAUCCGGUGUGGUGGUCUGGUCAGUUAGGAGUUUGAGGGUACGCCGGCGGGAAUAUUCAGCUUGAAGCCGACUGUAGCCAUGUCGGCGUCUGUGUUGUCGGUCAUCUCGCGGUUUUUAGAAGAGUACUUGAGCUCCACUCCUCAGCGUUUGAAGUUGUUGGACGCAUACCUCCUGUAUAUACUGCUGACCGGAGCGCUGCAGUUCGGUUAUUGUCUCCUCGUGGGGACCUUCCCCUUCAACUCCUUCCUCUCGGGCUUCAUCUCUUGUGUGGGGAGCUUCAUCCUAGCGGUUUGUCUGAGAAUACAGAUCAACCCACAAAACAAGGCGGAUUUCCAAGGCAUCUCCCCAGAGCGAGCCUUUGCUGAUUUUCUCUUUGCCAGCACCAUCCUUCACCUUGUUGUCAUGAACUUCGUUGGCUGAAUCAUUCCUGUUUACUUAACUGAGGAGGAGGAGACUAGAAGAAUAACAACCUCUUGAGGAUAAACUUGCUAAUUCCACUUAUGAAUGGGAAACUGAGAUUCAAGGAGCCUUGCUGGAAAUCUUUUAAGUCUGAUAAUCCAGUCUGAUGUCAAAAAAUGUUUUUAAUCUCUAUUUUCACUUGUGUUACUUGCUCAAUCUUGUCCGACUCUUUGCAACCCCACAGACUGUAGCCCGCCAGGCUCCUCUGUCCAUAGGGAUUCUUUAGGUUCACCUUUUAAUUUCCCCUGGAUAAGAGCUCUUUGAGAUGGCAGUUUGCUGGACACAUGGACUUUCUUCAGAUUUAUGCUUACUACCAACUCCUUGGGGUGCAGGUGGAGAGCCUAGAGAAGCUCCCUGCCUUCCGAGCCAGAACAACUUUGUAAUGAGCAUUUGUUAGCAUAGCCUCUGCCUUCCAUACAGUGUAACCUUUCUGCCUUCCAAAUUAAAAAGCUCCAUGCCCCUCCUU